rnacentral:tRNA from 1 species
CCCUCGAUAGCUCAGUUGGCAGAACGGAGGACUGUAGAUGUUACAACGGUGAUCCUUAGGUCGCUGGUUCAAAUCCGGCUCGAAGGA